UUUAAACGAAAAAGUGAGAAUUGUAGAAUUGUAGUGAUAUAGUGAAGAUCGGAUUUUAAAAUAAUUAUAUCAUUAUACGAUAUUUAGACAAAUCACUUUUU
rnacentral:sRNA from 1 species